AGCGAACGCUGGCGGCAGGCCUAACACAUGCAAGUCGAACGAACUCUUCGGAGUUAGUGGCGGACGGGUGAGUAACACGUGGGAACGUGCCUUUAGGUUCGGAAUAACCCAGGGAAACUUGUGCUAAUACCGAAUGUGCCCUUCGGGGGAAAGAUUUAUCGCCUUUAGAGCGGCCCGCGUCUGAUUAGCUAGUUGGUGAGGUAAAGGCUCACCAAGGCGACGAUCAGUAGCUGGUCUGAGAGGAUGAUCAGCCACAUUGGGACUGAAACACGGCCCAAACUCCUACGGGAGGCAGCAGUGGGGAAUCUUGCGCAAUGGGCGAAAGCCUGACGCAGCCAUGCCGCGUGAAUGAUGAAGGUCUUAGGAUUGUAAAAUUCUUUCACCGGGGACGAUAAUGACGGUACCCGGAGAAGAAGCCCCGGCUAACUUCGUGCCAGCAGCCGCCGUAA
rnacentral:rRNA from 1 species